GUAUAACCAGGUGUACAGGUGUACAUAUAUAUACGUAGUUGUUACCAGCUGUAUAACCAGGUGUACAGGUGUACAUAUAUAUACGUAGUUGUUACCAGCUGUAUAAUCCAGGUGUACACGACAUCCGCUGUCUUAGCGUCUCGGUCAAGGUCGUUACCAAUUUGAGCAUGGGUACUGCCAGUCAAUACAGGAAUGCGAAAUUAUCCCGGUGUACUUAUGAGGACUGAUGACACUUUGAACUGUUUAGUGAAGCACUUAGUCGACAAUGUUGAGUUUGGGUCAACAAGGGUAUCUUAUAUAAUUUAAUAUAACGUACAAUGUAUAUAUAAUAAUAAUAAAAAAAAAACAUAACAAAAAAAUGUAUAUAUAUAUAUAUAUAUAUAUUUAUAUCGAUAUUUUUUUCUGUUGGAAUGUGUAUAUUUAAAAAGCACUUGACACAAAACUUGUCACUACCGGAAUAAAUUAUCUUGAAAAUGUUCCAUUAACACAGCAAAUGAAAGUUCGACAUA